CGUCUCAACGGAUAGUGAUGAAUUUAGAGGAGGCAAGAUGUUGGCAUAGCUGUUGAGUCUAACAUCAGCUGUGUCCUCAUACUGCCCUUUCUUUCUUUGUCUAAAGCAACCGACAGUGC
rnacentral:pre_miRNA from 14 species